rnacentral:rRNA from 1 species
UACGUAGGGUGCGAGCGUUGUCCGGAAUUAUUGGGCGUAAAGAGCUUGUAGGCGGUUUGUCGCGUCUGCUGUGAAAAUCCGGGGCUCAACCCCGGACUUGCAGUUGGUACGGGCAGACUAGAGUGUGGUAGGGGAGACUGGAAUUCCUGGUGUAGCGGUGAAAUGCGCAGAUAUCAGGAGGAACACCGAUGGCGAAGGCAGGUCUCUGGGCCACUACUGACGCUGAGAAGCGAAAGCAUGGGGAGCGAACAGGAUUAGAUA